GAGUCUCACAGUCCGGUAAGGAAGACAGACAUUAGGCAAACUCGACACAAAGAAAGGUUCAGGUACCAACUCUGGUAGUCCUGAGGAGUGAUCUAUAGACAAGUCCUUGGAGAAAGCACACUGAGAACAGUGGACAGGAGCUUUUACUAAGUGAGGAGGGUUGGAAGAACUCACACUUUCUCAUAGUGAAGUGGAAGGUUAGGCUCAUGUAAGGAGAGCUAAGGGCUCAGCCCGAUAGAAUACAGAGUGUUAGGAUCUUGUAAGAGCUAAGGACUCAGCCAGUGGUUACCUGCAUCUUCACAGAACAAUUUUGUUGCUUGCCCGCAGUGAGCCUUCUGAACCUGAUGGUCCAGAGCCCACUUCUCUACCACACUGUGAUCCAUGAUUAGGCCACAAGGAGGGGCAGCAACAUCAUGUGAAGAGACUAACAUGGCCCAAGCUGGGCCUACUGCAGGGUGAAGCAUAGGAGUAGCCUGAGGUUUGGUAAACUCAUUUGGGACUCUUCAUAUGCCUGGGACAGUACUGGAAACCCGUGAUUCUUACGUUCUGGAGCAGGUCUGUAGGAUCACAUUAUAUCUUUCCCUGUGACCUUAAAGGAAAUCUCAUUUAUUUGAAGAAAAUUUUCAUAUGAAAUUCCUACCUUCACAUGCUACAGAAUACCUAAGGCAACAGGAAGAAAGCUGAAAAGACUCCUACU
rnacentral:lncRNA from 1 species